AGUGGAAUGAAGCAAGUUAGGAGCACAACUUUAUUGUCCAGAUGGGCGUCUGGUCCAAGACGAGCUCAUCCUAUGUUUUGGAUUAAUUGUGUAGGGUUGUAAAUUUGUACCUCUGCAUGGGGUUCCCUAUGGGCACUUUUUAAAUCUAAACAAACAGAAAAGGAUGAGAGGAUUUUUUUAAAAAAGAAAAGGUUCUAUAUCGACAGUAGCCAUGAUAAAAAUUACCUGGGCCAUCCAAUCUCAUGCUGCAAGGUCUAUGCUCAUCACCAGCCAGGGCAGGUGCUGAGGCAGUUGGGAAAGGAAAGUAUAAUAUUGUCCAAUUUGAUCCAUUUGGGAGGCUUUAUUUCCAUCCCACUGGAACAAGAGGCAUUGGCACAGGAACAGGAUGUUGGACGAGAUGGAAAACUGCUCUGUUUCAGUCUUCAAAGGUGAAGUCAUAGCAGGAGGAGUGGCUCUGGCCUCCUCAUCACUUCCUGUCACCUUCAUAAGACCCAAGAGAAGCACAUACAGGCCUCAACCAAGAUCAAGGCCCCACUGUGCCAAGCCCUGUACAAACCCAUAAUAAGAGACUGGUCCCUGUCUGAAAAGUUCAACAUCUAAACAGAGAAGACAGACAAAGGGCUGGGGAGAAACAGACACAGAGAGGGGGACUGGCCUGCUUGCCUCCUUCUCCUCCCAUGGCUGGGAAUGGGCAGAAGCACUUGGCCCAUCCUCCUCCACAUCCCUAUCUUGUAGAGCUGCUAGAAAGGAUACCACAAGAGGGAACAGACAUAUAUCAUUUUCUCUACAUGGUACAGUCUGAUGGGUUGGUCUGCAACUGGCAUCCAAUAUCCUCUAUGGGUUGGAGAAUGGGAAUGGGACAGUCUUUCCUGGUUCCUGUCAGCUGAUGAAUCUAAUAAGAUCAGACUUUCUCUCCAGGUAAUUGCGGUGCUCCAGCUCCUAGCCAAGACACACCGGUGCUGAGGCCACUGCAGAAAUGGAAAACUCCAGUGAGAACAAGAGUUAACAAAAACUUUUUGAGACAUAAUACCUGUAGUUUUGGAUCUAUUCUUAUUAUAUCCACAUCUUGGGUCUAGAGCUAA